rnacentral:lncRNA from 1 species
ACAAAACCCAAUAUAUUGCACAUGAUUGUCAUGCUCUCUUUAUAUCAUGAAUUUGCAUGGUAAAACCCUAAAUUAUCAUAACUUAGUUCCUCUUUAGCAUUAAACCCUAUUAUCAUGGGAUAACAUAACAAAUCCAUACAUACUUUCAUAAGGAAAACCUAACACAAACAUGAUAUAACCAUAUCACCUUGCAGAACAUAUUCACAUACAUAUAUAUGCAUCAAAACAACAUUACCUUUCAAGAUAAUCAAGAUCAAACCAUAUUCAUCAUACAAAAAAUCAAGAAAACAAACAAUGGUAAGCUUCCCCAUACCUUGACCAAUACUAGGGCUUUAUCUACAACUCGAAAAUUCCAAAACAAACAAAGGUAAGCUUCCAUUAUUUCACGUUAUUACUAAUUUUUUUCUCCCAAAAUCGCCCCUCUCAUCUCAUUCUCUAUUUUCUCUCUUUGAUUUAGAGUUUUUAGGGUUUCUAGGGUUUCUAAAACACAAAUACCACCCGCCUAUCUAUAUCUUAAUAUUUAUAAAUCAACCAAACUCUAUAUCUUCGUACUUAUAACAAUAUAUUUUAAAAACCAAAUCUGUCUAAAUCUCUAUCUCCCCUUUAUCUAACGUUCACUAUCCACCUUUUUCUUUUAUUUUACUUAAUUCACACCCCUUUUACUUCCUACACCCCCUUAUUUAAUUUCUACAACAAUUAAAUAAAGGUAAAAAACCAUUUUACCCCUAAGCAAAAAUACAAAUAAAACAAAGGUUUCACUUAACUCCCUUUCUUCCUAGAAUUGAACCCACACCCAUUCAAUCCUAAACCAUGCUUCCAUUAACAAGAGAACACAUCACAAUGAUAAUAUCACACACACACACACACACAUAAAUCACCCAAUUAUCAACAUACUAAUCAUGCAUUGCACUUUAUUAAUAAUAACAUGAAAUAAUUAACAUAGCAAUUAUAAUUCUAUAAACACCUAAACCUUCACACCAAUUUUCAAAGAACAAUAUUCAAAUCUCAGAACCACUUAAUUCUCUAGUUACUACAUUUUUC